ACAUAGCAAGCUGUGCCAAUCUGCAUGCAACCUGCGGGCCGCAGGUUGGACUUGUCUGGCUUAGAUGCUUACAUCUGCCAAAAUUCCACAAUUAAAUGUAUCAGGAUUAUUAGAAACCACAUGCUGCUUUGGUUAUUUCUGUGACUAUGCAGCCAGAGAUCCAUGACCUUAAAACUGAAGAUGUAUGUAACAUGUAUGCUGGAUUCCAGUAGUAAGCAUUGAAGGUGUGUCAAUCUACUAAAAUGGGUUCACAGUCCACCUCUGCCAUGUGCAAAGGAAAAAUGAGUACUUCUGAGGAUUAUCAGCUGCAAUGACCGAGACAACUGUCUUUGUGAAAAGCCAGGUUGUUACUUGCGCUAUACACGUCUAACUGCUAUUUUUGAGGAAGAUAUACGCUAUUUUAUAUGCCUACAAUUACAACUUUUUCAAGGGAGAGAUACGGAGCAAUAAUUCAAAAGACUGCAGCUCGUGACAAACACCCUACCAUUUUUCUUCCAUCUUAUUACUGUGAUAUGUAACAGCUGAUUUCCAGAACCAGGCAGAUGAUGGGAAGGAAGACUUGGAAAGCAGAGGCAAAGACAGAAGGAGCACUGGGGCCUCACCACCUCAGCUGGCUUGUCAACAUUUGUUUGUGAACAGCCAUCCAGCCACAGAAGCAUUUGUUGGCACGGGAGUGCAUUGCUGGGAAAGUGUCUGCACCUAAUGUUUCCCAAGAGCCAAGGAAGCCUUCUCUUUGAGUUGUGUGCCUACUAGUCAAAAACCUUCACUACUCAGUUUCCUCAGAAUCUUCCUAAGAAGUAGUAGGACUUCCAGUUCUCUUUUAGUGAGGGUCUUCCUCCGUCAACUUUGGAACCCUGCUUUCAGAGGUACAUAAGAGAGCACGAACAAGCACUCCUGUUUCCGAUGUAAUCAAGCAAAUGAUCUCUCCCUUCACCUAUACUGAUGUGUACAGCAGAACAGCAAUAACAGCAGGGAGCAAGAUUGGACAUCCCUGAAAAACAGGCAAUGAAAAGUAUUGGAGUUGUGGGGCAUCUGCAGGGCAAGGCCCCACAUCAGCCCCUAUGGCUAAUCCAAAUUUCCCAGGUAGCAGGUGAUCUGCAUCCAAGAGCUCUGGGGUCUGUGCCUGCAGCACACAUGAACAAGAAUCAGGGUCUCUCUCUGUUUCUUUCCUUUUCCUCUCUCUUUUCUGGGGCCUAGCUUCAUCUCUGCAGGAUGCUCAGCAAUGCAUGGACACGAGUUAUAGACAGGCUGGUUGCACUGGGAGAACAAGAGAGACUUUGUCAUAACCACAAAGGGCAGAUUUUCCAAGGACCUAAGCCUGCUAAACUUGUGCAGGUGUGAUUUUCUAACAGAUUUAUAGCACAGCCAAGUUCAGAUAGAGGGCUCGAGCUCUUCUUUUGCAUGUAAUUUGCACAGACUCUGCAAAUUCCUACUUAAGAGCAUGGAAUCUCUUCUGUUCUCUAAGUAACUCUGGUCACCUCUUAUUCCUCAUAGUUGACAUUGUUAUCUGCAUUUGGGGAUGCAGAAAUGGCUGAAUUAUUUCCCAUUUUCUUUUCCUGGAAGAUCAUCUUGAGAUGGGUAUUUAAGCAAGAAAAAGCCUGCAUACAGAUUUUUGCAAAAUUUCAAGCUACCGAGUAAGGUCUUUUAGAAUAGGAAGUUUCAGACUAAGUUGGUACUGGUGAUGUAAUCAUUUCAAUUGCAAUCUCCAUUGUUUUGUGGGAUGGUGGGAACGACUUAAGAAGAGUUGUAAAAAUGUGUUUUUCUGUGAAUGGUUUCAUUGUUUAACACUAGACGUCCAUGAAAAGUAGAACAAUUCCAUCCAUUGGAUGUGUUUUUACAAGGAUUACUUUCUAAGCAUGCUAUAAAAGCAGAGGC
rnacentral:lncRNA from 7 species